UUUUGAUCUUGGACUUCUCAGCCUUCCAAAACUGAGUUAUAAUUUUUGUGUUUAACCACACAAUGUAUGGUAUUUUGUUACAGCAGCCUGAGCUGCCUAAGACACCAAGUUUCUCUAACAGCAUGACUAAAUGGCUUCUGUGAAUGACUGACAGGAGCAGGCAGCACUCUUUUUUGCUUCUGGAUGGGGUGGUAGAAGAUUAACAGGUUGCCAUCCUACCUUGCUCACUUGGAGAGAAACAGUGUUUUCCAAAUCAGACAUAUAUAUGCGGGGAAUUUCUCAUGGAGAUUAGGCAAUGGAUCUAAAAAGGUACUCUCCUCCUGCCUGACCUUAGCACAUCCCAUGGAGCCCUCUCUAUUGUGAAUCUGAAGGCUUAGCAAAAAUCCUCAGAUUCACAAUAUUUUCUCAGUACAUAUCAGAACAUCUGCAAUGAACAGGUUUCUAUGUUAGACAAAGUGGAUUAAUUUUAUUAUAAACAAAAACCACCUUCAAAAGAGUAUUCAUUGUUGGUUUUUGAUUUUAAAAAGUAGAACCGCUUGCAUGAAUUCACCAAUUCCCAACUGGUUGAUUCAAUGCAUUACAAGAGAGGAACUCAGCAAUCCUGGCUCAUAUUUUAUCAGCCAUAGCAGGACAUGGAGUUUGGAUUUGGGGGAUCAAGGCACUUUCAAUUUCCAGUAUCAGAAACUCAUUUAUUUAUUAUAUGAACAAAUUGAGUAUGCUUAGCCCCAUAGGAAAUAGAAAUUUUACUUUCUCAUUCUUUGUCACCCAUUAAUAAACAGUGCACAUUUGUGUAACAGUAGGAUCAGUAAGUUAGUUUUGGUCUCUUACGUAAGCCAUUUCAUGGAAACUUUUCAGUAGUACAUUAUUGCUUUCACCUUAUUUUCAGAGAUCUCCUGGAAAUAACUGAAAUAUGGGACUGUUUUAUUAUGUUAAAAAGUUUAGUUAGCAGAAAAUGCAAUAUAACAUGUAUGUCACACAAGUUUAUAGCCUGCCUACAUAUUAGAUAUUGAUAAUUUCAGGGUAAUUUCAGUCUGUAAGUUUGUUUUUCUCAACCACAUUAUUUAUCUUUUAUUCUUAUCCAGGAUGAAUGUAAACCUUUUGGGUUUUUCUUCCUCUUAUCCAUUCAUUCAGAAGAUAUUUACUGAGUACCUAUCUAUGCCAUGCAGUCUCUUAGAGAAUGGGAAUACAGCAGUGAACAAGAUAGGUCCACAUCGAGGCUGGAGGCUUCUACUUUGGGAUGGCAAACUUUCUCAUCUGGGGGGACCUCUUCUGUGUGGGAGCAUGCGUUAGGCUCAAGAGUGACCAAAACGACCCUGCUGAGAUCUGCCCCAGGUGAGCUGCCAUCUCUUCUCUGCACAGCAGCUGGUGCAGUAGCUGACCUCAUAUCCUGGGGCUUCAGCCACGUUCUUUUAGUUCUCAUACCAUAGGUAUACACAGGCAGCACAGUAGCUGUUUGCUGCCUAACCUAGUUUCUGCAUGUAAACCUUUUCUGAUUUCUCUGGGGAUAUAACUUACUUCCACGCUUUGACUCUUUUCUUUAUCCACAUUCCAAUGACUAUGACUUUCCUGUCUUUUUACCUCCUUCACCCAAUUUGUGUCCUCUCAUUUGUUCUGUUCACCAGUUUGCUGACUCUUCUCCCUUCAGCAUCUCCCACAAGGCAUAUAUGUGUUUCUAUUUCUAGUGUUAUCUGUCUAUAGCACCACAAAGCACUUGAAAUAUAAGACAUUUGAUAUUUGAGAUAUGACUGGCCUUAUUAUUGUUAUCUCUAUCAUAGUUAUUAUCAUCACCAUCAUCAUUCCAACUUUUACAGAUGAGAAAUAAAAAUGAGGCCUAGGGAGAUGUAGUGCCUUGCUUUAAGUCACCAGCUGGUAAAUAGCCCAGCUAUGAUGUCUGACUCUGAAUUCAAUGCUUUUCCAAAGUACUCUACCCAUCUUCCUCAUCAUGUUACUUCCCUAUUGAGCUGGUCAGUAAUUGAACUGCCUUUCAAGUUUGAGAACUUAAGGAACUCAAAUAAAUUGUUUCUUUUCCCUGUUUGAGAAGACCUGCAGCUUCUCAUUUUUCCAUGCUCACUCCUAUGGCCAGAGUCAGUUACAAAGAUAUUGUAUUCUGAAUAACUAAGAACAUGCUUUGUUAUUUUCAAAAAUUUUAACUGAAAUUAAGACACCAAAAAAAAAAGUUAUCCUAGAGGAUUCUAGGAUCUCCAAAUAUAUUUUUUAAUAGACUCCUUGAGCUUAAGAAGUACUGACUUGUGUUUGUUUAUUCUAGUUCACAAUCCUGUUUAGAGAAGGCCGACCCUUGCUGCAGCAAUCUUGACUAAUACCUACCAGCCCCACUAUCUCCUAUUGUAAAUGCAGUUUCCAGAAUGUGGAAGAGAGUAGGUUCAGGGGGCUAAAAAGAAAUCCU